rnacentral:lncRNA from 1 species
CUUGCUCAUGCUUGACUGCUGCCAUGGUUGUGAGGCCUCCCCAGCCAUGUGGAACUGUUUUCAGGUGCUGGUUCCAUGGCUCUUCCUGAACUCAAAAUAAGGAAACUCCAUAGACACUGUCCACUGGAACUCGUUCCCAUCUACCCUCCACUCUGUCCAGCCCCAUGAGGACAAGGAACAUGACUGGUUUUGCUCACUGCCGUGUCUUCCGUACCUAGUACAUAACAGGACAUCAAUAAAUAUUAGUUGAAUGGAAGAUUAAAUCAACAAAAUGGGUGAUGGAUCUCUGCAGUGAGUAGAAGAGUUCCUCAUGGCCCCCAAGGUUAUAUCCAUCUAGAACUUCAGCAUGUAAUUUCAUUUGGAAAUAAUGCCUUUGCAGAUAUAAUUUAGGUAAAACUGGAGAUGAGAUCAUACUGGAUUAGGAUGGGAUCUAAAUCCAAUGAAAAUAUAUUCAUAAAAAACAGGAAAGAACCCAUAGAAACUCAAGGAAGAAGGUCAUGU